rnacentral:tRNA from 1 species
GGGCCCAUAGCUCAGUCGGUUAGAGCAGCGGACUCAUAAUCCGUCGGUCGGUGGUUCGAGUCCACCCCGGCCCA